GAUCAUCUCAAUUGAUGAAGAAAAACGACUUGAUAAAAUCCAACAUUUCUUCACAAUCAACUGGGCAUUGAAAAUACAUACCUCAAAUUAAUAAAAGCCAUCUAUGACAAAUCCAUAGCCAACAUCAUACUGAAUGAGGAUAAGGUUAAAGCAUUCCUCCUAAGAACUGAACAGGAUAUUGGUGGUGUCCAUCAUGGGCAAGCUAAUAAAGGCCAUGGCGCCAGCAGAAAUCCUGAACGGGAAGGAGGUCUCCGCGCAAAUAAGGGCAAGACUGAAGAAUCAAGUCAUUCAGUUGAAGGAGCAAGUACCUGGUUUCACACCAGACCUGGCAAUAUUACAGGUUGGCAACAGAGAUGAUUCCAAUCUUUACAUAAUGUGAAGCUGAAGGCUGCUGAAGAGAUUGGGAUGAAAGUCACCGACAUUAAGUUACCAAGAACAACCACAGAAUCUGAGGUGAUCAAGUAUAUUGUAUCUUUGAAUGAAGACUACUAUACACAGGUUCAUAGUGCAGCUACCUCUAGAUUCAGAGAAUUCCAUUACACUGAAAAGACUGAUCAAUGCUAUUGCACCUGAAAUGGAUGUGGAUGGAUUGACUAGCAUCAGUGCUGGGAAACUUGCUAGAGGUGACCUAAAUGACUGUUUCAUUCCUUGUAUGCCUAAAGGAUGCUUGGAACUCAUCAAAGAGGCAGGGGUGCAGAUUGCCAGAAGGCAUGCUGUGGUGAUUGGGCACAGUAAAAUAGUCGGGGCCCCGAUGAAUGACUUGCUUCUGUGAUACAAUGCCACAGUGACCACCUGCCGCCCCAAGACUGCCAAUCUGGAUGAAGAAGUAAUUAAGGUGACAUACUGGUGGUUGCAACUGGUUGGCCUGAAAUGGUUAAAGGAGAAUGGAUCAAACCUGGGGCAAUAGUCAUCCACUGUAGAAUCAACUAUGUCCCACAUGAUAAAAAAAAAACAAAUGGGAGAAAAGUUGUGGUUGAUGUGGCAUACGACAGAGCCUGUUCCUGGUAGCUUCAGGCCCAUGAUGGUUGCAAUGCUCAUACAGAGCACAGUAGAGAGUACCAAGUGUUUCCUGGAGAAAUUUAAGCCAGGAAAGUGGAUGAAUCAGUAUAACAAUCUUAACUUCAAGACACCUGUUCCAAGUGAUAUUGAUAUAUCACGAUCUUGUAAACUGAAGCCCAUUGGUAAGCUGGCUCGAGAAAUUUGUCUGCUGUCUGAAGAGGUAGAAUUAUAUGGUGAAACAAAGGCCAAAGUUCUGCUGUCAGCACUAGAACACCUGAAGCACCAGCCUGAUGGGAAAUACCGGGUGGUGACUGGAAUAACCCCAACACUCCGGGAGAAGGGAAAAGCACGACUACAAUCGGGCUGGUGCAAGCCCUUUUUGCCCAUAUCUACCAGAACAUUUUUGUGUGUGCGACAGCCUUCUCAGGGCCCCAUCUUUGGAAUAAAAGGUGGUGCCGCAGGAGGUGGCUACUCCCAGAUCAUUCCUAUGGAAGAGUUUAAUCUCCACCUCACAGGUGACAUCCAUGCCAUCACUGUAGCUAAUAACCUCAUUGCUGCAGCCAUUGAUGCUCAGAUAUUUCGUGAACUGCCCCAGACAGACAAGGCUCUCUUUAAUCGUUUGGUGCUAUCAGUAAAUGGAGUGAGAACGUUCUCUGAUAUCCACAUCCGAAGGUUAAAUAGACUAGGCAUAGAAAAGACUGACCCUACCACACUGACAGAUGAGGAGAUAAACAGAUUUGUAAGAUUGGACAUUGAUCCAGAAAUCAAAACUUGGCAAAGAGUGUUGGAUACCAAUGAUAGAUUCCUGAGGAAGAUCAUGAUUGGACAGGCUCCAACAAAGAAAGGUCACAUAAGGACGGCCCAGUUUGAUAUCUCUGUGGCCAGUGAAAUUAUGGCUGUCCUGGCUCUCAGCACUUCUCUAGAAGAUAUGAGAGAGAGACUGGGCAAAAUGGUGGUGGCAUCCAGUAAGAAAGGAGAGCCCAUCCGCGCUGAAGAUCUGGGGGUGGGUGGUGCAUUGAUAGUGCUUAUGAAGGACGCAAUCAAGCCCAAUCUCAUGCAGACAUUGGAGGGCACUCCAGUGCCGUUUGUCCAUGACGGCCCAUUUGCCAACAUCGCACAUGGCAAUUCCCCGAUCAUUGCAGACCGAUCGCACUCAAGCUUGUUGGCCCAGAAGGGUUUGCAGUGACGGAAGUGGGAUUUGGAGCAGACAUUGGAAUGGAAAAAUUUUUUAACAUCAAAUCCCAGUAUUCCGGCCUCCACCCUCACGUGGUGGUGCUUGUUGACAAUGUCAGUGCUCUCAAGAUGCAGGGGGCGGCCCUGUGGUCACUGCUGAAAUGCCUCUUCCCAAGGCUUACAUAGAGGAGAACCUAGGGCUGGUUGAAAAAGGCUUCAGUAACUUGAAGAAACAAAUUGAAAAUGGCAGAAUGUUUGGAAUUCCAGUAGUAGUGGCCGUGAAUGCAUUCAAGAUGGAUACAGAGACUGAGCUAGACCUCCUCAGCCACCUUUCCAGAGAACAUGGGGCUUUUGAUGCCGUGAAGUGCACUCACUGGGCAGAAGGGGGCAAAGGUGCCUUAGCCCUGGCUCAGGCCAUCUAGCGAGCAGCACAAGCACCCAGCAGUUUCCAACUCCUUUAUGACCUCAAACUCCCAGUUGAGGAUAAAAUCAGAAUCACUGCACAGAAGAUCGAUGGAGUAGACGACAUUGAAUUACUCCCCAAAGCUCAACACAAAGCUGAAGUCUACACAAAGCAGGGGUUUGGGAAUCUCCCCAUCUGCAUAGCCAAAACACAUUUGUCCUUGUCUCACAACCCAGAGCAAAAAGGUAUUCCUACAGGAUUUGUUCUGCCCAUUUGUGACAUCAAUGCCAGCAUCGGGGCUGGUUUUCUGUACCCUUUAGUAGAAACAGUGAGCACAAUGGACUCCCCACCCGGCCCUGUUUUUAUUGUACUGAUUUGGACCCUGAAACAGAACAGGUGAAUGGAUUAUUCUAAACCGAUCAUCAUCCAUCUUCAAGAAGCUACUUUGAAAGUUUGGCCAGUGUCUAUUCAGGCCCACUGGGAAUUAGGAAGUAUAAGGGAGCCAAGAGUCAGUCCCUGCCCAGAAGAUAUGAAACUAAUAGUAGGAGGUUCCCCAGAUGUCAUUUUCAGCCUUAAUUCUCAUCAUGUACAAAUAACAUAAAUCAUGCACAUGUCUAUUUACUUUAGUGAUGUUCCACAGAAUAAAAGGAAAUAGUUUUGCCAAAUAAAUAAAUAAAUAAAGGACUGAAUAAAGACAAAGAUCUCCACUCUGACCAGUCCUAUUCAACAUAUUACUGGCAGUUUUACCCAGAGGAAAGGGAUCCAAAUUUAAAAAGAAGGAGUCAUGUUAUCUCUGCUUGCUGAUGACAUAUCUAGAAAACCUAGACGUUACAUAAAAUUCAUAUACUUGAUAAACAAUUUUAGUAAAGUUUCAGGAUAUCGAA